AUUGAACGCUGGCGGAAUGCUUUACACAUGCAAGUCGAACGGUAGAGGGGGCAACCCCUCGAGAGUGGCGAACGGGUGAGUAAUAUAUCGGAACGUGCCCAGUCGUGGGGGAUAACGUAGCGAAAGUUACGCUAAUACCGCAUACGAUCUAAGGAUGAAAGCGGGGGAUCGCAAGACCUCGCGCGAUUGGAGCGGCCGAUAUCAGAUUAGGUAGUUGGUGGGGUAAAGGCUCACCAAGCCAACGAUCUGUAGCUGGUCUGAGAGGACGAUCAGCCAACCUGGAACUGAGACACGGUCCAGACUCCCACGGGAGGCAGCAGUGGGGAAUUUUGGACAAUGGACGCAAGUCUGAUCCAGCCAUUCCGCGUGCAGGAUGAAGGCCCUCGGGUUGUAAACUGCUUUUGUACGGAACGAAAAGGUCUCUCUUAAUACGGGGGGCUCAUGACGGUACCGUAAGAAUAAGCACCGGCUAACUACGUGCCAGCAGCCGCCGUAA
rnacentral:rRNA from 1 species